rnacentral:rRNA from 1 species
CCUACGGGUGGCAGCAGUGAGGAAUAUUGGUCAAUGGACGAGAGUCUGAACCAGCCAAGUAGCGUGAAGGAUGACUGCCCUAUGGGUUGUAACCUUCUUUUAUAUGGGAAUAAAAUGUUCCACGUGGGGGAGUUGGUAUGUACCAUAUGAAUAAGGACCGGCGAACUCCGUGCAAGCAGCCGCGGUAAUACGGAGGGUGCGAGCGUUAAUCGGAAUUAGUGGGCGUAAGGCGCUCGUAGGCGGUAUGUCAAGUCACGGGUUAAAUCCCCGCGCUAAACGUGGGAACUGCCUUUGAAACUGGCAAACUGGAGUGUGUGAGAGGAUAGUGGAAUUCCAGGUGUAGGAGUGAAAUCCGUAGAUAUCUGGAGGAACAUCAGUGGCGAAGGCGACUAUCUGGCACAUAACUGACGCUGAGGAGCGAAAGCGUGGGUAGCAAACAGGAUUAGAUACCCCAGUAGUC